GCAGUCGAACGAACACCUUAUUCUGAUUUCUUCGGAAUGAAAAAUUUGGUGACUGAGUGGCGGACGGGUGAGUAACGCGUGGGUAACCUGCCUCAUACAGGGGGAUAACAGUUAGAAAUGACUGCUAAUACCGCAUAAGACCACAGCACCGCAUGGUGCAGGGGCAAAAACUCCGGUGGUAUGAGAUGGACCCGCGUCUGAUUAGGUAGUUGGUGGGGUAACGGCCUACCAAGCCGACGAUCAGUAGCCGACCUGAGAGGGUGACCGGCCACAUUGGGACUGAGACACGGCCCAAACUCCUACGGGAGGCAGCAGUGGGGAAUAUUGCACAAUGGGGGAAACCCUGAUGCAGCGACGCCGCGUGAGCGAUGAAGUAUUUCGGUAUGUAAAGCUCUAUCAGCAGGGAAGAAAAUGACGGUACCUGACUAAGAAGCGCCGGCUAAAUACGUGCCAGCAGCCGCGGUAAUACGUAUGGUGCAAGCGUUAUCCGGAUUUACUGGGUGUAAAGGGAGCGUAGACGGAGUGGCAAGUCUGAUGUGAAAACCCGGGGCUCAACCCCGGGACUGCAUUGGAAACUGUCAAUCUAGAGUACCGGAGAGGUAAGCGGAAUUCCUAGUGUAGCGGUGAAAUGCGUAGAUAUUAGGAGGAACACCAGUGGCGAAGGCGGCUUACUGGACGGUAACUGACGUUGAGGCUCGAAAGCGUGGGGAGCAAACAGGAUUAGAUACCCUGGUAGUCCACGCCGUAAACGAUGACUAC
rnacentral:rRNA from 1 species